UACAGAGGGUGCAAGCGUUGUUCGGAAUUAUUGGGCGUAAAGCGCGUGUAGGCGGCUUGGCAAGUCGGGUGUGAAAUCCCUCAGCUCAACUGAGGAAGUGCGCCCGAAACUGCUUUGCUUGAGUGCCGGAGAGGAUGGCGGAAUUCCCCAAGUAGAGGUGAAAUUCGUAGAUAUGGGGAGGAACACCGGUGGCGAAGGCGGUCUGCUGGGCCGUUGCUGACGCUGAGGCGCGAAGGCGUGGGGAGCGAACGGG
rnacentral:rRNA from 1 species